rnacentral:rRNA from 1 species
GGGACAACCCGCCGAAAGGCGGGCUAAACCCGCGUACAUGCCACCGGGGCAUCCCGGAGGCAGGAAAGGCUUCGGCCGGACAGGGAUGGGCAUGCGGCGCAUUAGGCAGUAGGCGGGGUAACGGCCCACCUAACCGACGAUGCGUAGGGGUUCUGAGAGGAAGGUCCCCCACACUGGUACUGAGACGCGGACCAGACUCCUACGGGAGGCAGCAGUGAGGAAUAUUGGUCAAUGGUCGGGAGACUGAACCAGCCAAGCCGCGUGAGGGAGGAAGGCACAGAGUAUCGUAAACCUCUUUUGUCAGGGAACAAAGACUGGGACGCGUCCCCGGAUGAGUGUACCUGAAGAAAAAGCAUCGGCUAACUCCGUGCCAGCAGCCGCGGUAAUACGGAGGAUGCGAGCGUUAUCCGGAUUUAUUGGGUUUAAGGGUGCGCAGGCGGUCUGUUAAGUCAGCGGUCAAAGCCCGGGGCUCAACCCCGGCCCGCCGUUGAAACUGGCAGUCUCGAGUUGGAGAGAAGUAUGCGGAAUGCGCGGUGUAGCGGUGAAAUGCAUAGAUAUCGCGCAGAACUCCGAUUGCGAAGGCAGCAUGCCGGCUCCACACUGACGCUGAGGCACGAAAGCGUGGGUAUCGAACAGGAUUAGAUACCCUGGUAGUCCACGCAGUAAACGAUGAAUGCUGGCUGUCCG